AUGUGGAAAAGGAUUUUUCCCUAUUUGCGUGUCGAGAAAAGACGUGUUGCAGCCGGGGGUGGUGAUGAGGGGCCAUGGGGGAAAAGGGAUUCAAGAGGCAAAGCCCAGACCAGGGAGUGCGACAGUGGACGUGUGCCUCUCACCUCUGCUCAAAACAACACAAAGACGAACAAAUAUUUUAAAGUACUGAUAAGAAAAAGUGAUACUUUGAUCGUAUUUCCCAAAUACAUAUUCCAACUUGUAUCUGAUUUCCGUUUCCAUGGCCAGUGGGUUUAAGGCCACGGAGUCUGGCCUCCACCCAGAGCAGGGAGGAGCUGGCCCCUCACCCCCCUGGCACACUCGGGAAGCAGGGCCCAGCUCUGAGCCCCUCCUCACCCCCAGGGCCCUAACUUUCCUGAAAGGAGCAGAUGCUUCGUGGAGGGGCAGCUUGGCCAGGGCCCUGAACUGGGCAGGGCUCAGGGCCCACGAGGGCGGGUUCUCUCCUCACCCCAGAGCAGAGUGCAUGGAAGCGACGUCCCUUUUCCUCCCCCAGACACCUUUAUCGCUGCCCCCAAAGCCCUGGCCAAGCUUGCCGGCCUGCUCAAGACACGGAUGGUGGUGGGGCUGGGCCAGAAGCGCUGCGGCCAGGGCAGGCUCUGCCCCCUCGGCCCACCACACGCAGGGGAAGGCCCCUUCAUGGGCCCCCUUUUCCACCAGCCACAUCUGCCUGGCCCUCAGACCCCUCUGCCUGCCCCUACCCCUUAAGAGGGUUUCUGGGCCUUUUCUGUGGACACUUGGUAGAUCAGAGGGCCUGAUGGGCUAAUGCUUGGGGCAUAGAAUAAGGGUCCCCCUGACCACCUGAGCCCACAUCCUGGCCCCAGGUGCAAGGAGCACCUUUCGGGGGCUCUGCCCCAGUAACCCAGGAGAACUCACACCCCUCCUUCUCCCACAGCCAAGGACAGACAGGGCUGUCUGGAACUGAGCCCGACAGCCCUCCACCUCACAAACACCUGGUGGGGGCACACACUCACCGUGUCCUUCCACCCCAAGGCUCCCCUGACCCCACAGGAGCUUCAGGAAAGCCCCCCAAGUUAGCUGAUGCUCUAGGACCAGCUCUGUCACCCACACCAUGGGCCUCAGAAGCAGGGGUGCUGGCGGGUGCCCUACCCCCAAAUCCCCGGUCCCCUUGACCCCCCUGUUUUUUCUUGGGUCUGUUAGGGACUGUUUCUCACCUGCUGGCUGGCCUCCUUGAAGGGCCAUUUCUGGAGGCUCCCUAGGAAGCUGAAGGCUGGGGGGUCAUGUUGUGGUUGGGGAUCCCCACUCCCACCCACGAGCCUACCCUUUGUCUCACACGAGUGCAAUAUUUCAUUCCCGGCGGUCGUCUGGGGAGGUGGUUAGAUGAGGUCCUGCUUGAGGCUCGGGGAUCAGAACAGCGUCCCGUGAGGAAGCGCGUGCGGCCGGGGACACACUGAGCCGCGGGAGCUGGAGGGCAGGCGUUCUGUACCCGAGCAGAGCGCGACCACGGAGGUCCGACCCUUGGCUCCGCCGCUGCGUUCCUGUCCUGCUUCUGCUGGGCUGCGAUUUGUCCCCGGUUUUUCUGUCUUUUCCUUUCUGUGUGUGCGUGAAUGGUGUGACCCCUGCCCCCUCCGUGGUGACCGUGGCGAAGGCACGAUUCCUGUAAAUGUGUAAACUAAGGGGAUGGUUGGAUUUUUUUUUUUUCAAUGUAAACACUAAAAACAGACAAAAAACACACAAAGGUUUUAUGAACAGCAGACUCUAUGUAAAGGCAUUUUAGUAUUAAAUUUUUUAUUGAUAACUUGCUUAAGAAUAAAUAUAUGGACUAUUGGACAGGU